UGAAAGUUGAGAUUCUAGUGAUUUAUCUUUCAUUUUGCACCACUGUUUUCUAACAGUGUAUUUAAAUGAAUGACACUUGAACGUUACACGUGUAAACACGGUAAACACUUCGAUCAAAAGCGUUGCUGGAGGAUGAUUGCCGACAACUGAUAAAACUAAAAUGGCAGCAGCAAGAGGUUUCAAUUUUGUAGAUACAGCGAGGAAUACGAGCGAUAGGAUCGAAAAAUCCUGAUUAUUCGUACCGUCUACCCAAGAAAAAAUCUCAUGAACUCGGACGCCAAAAGAAAGUGCUGAUGGUGUGAAAGCAGAUUCAGAAUCAUUCCAUCUGAUGAUCGAUCGGAAAAAUCAAGCCAUCCAAGGAAUUCCUUCUAGUCGUUUACGAUUAUCCAGCAGUUGAACCGUGAAAAUGAAUUCGAAAAAAUUGAAUCUAUUUCGCCAUCUCAGGAAGCAAAAUUGUUGCCGCAAAUAAUUCACAUCAAAGAGACAUUUGUCAGCAAAUAGAUUAUGCAGACCAUCGCCGUCCAAAUAAAAUAAGGAUCCAGCCCCUGUAUAGUAAAUGGAUUCUGGUUGAAACAAAAGAUGCAGCAGAUUAAUGAACGAAAACACCAAAUUGAACGGCAGCAUUGAGAAGAUCCUCAAGGGUUGCUCACGUCGGCGGAUCAAGCAGUAGUACAAAAUCAACAAUAAAGACGGUGCCGGGAAAGGCAGAAUUCCGCUCUACCCAGGUGAAGCAGUCAAGGUACUGAUGGAUUUGAAGUGAACGUAACUUUGUCUGUGAUUCCGAGCAGCUAGGGGUAGGCGACAUCAGAUCAGAUCAGAAUCCAUCACAGAUUAAGUCAUUUGCGACUAAGAACGACUGUCUAAACAACAACCAACAGUAAAUCUAACGGUACUCAUUGAACCAGUCCCCUCUGUACAGGGUGGUAUCCGAGGCUGCCUUAAAAAACAGCAACUUGAUAGCCAAGUUCAUCAUUCAAGUUCGCAACAACCAGAGAUUUUCUCUCAUCUUUAACAAAAUUCAUCUGCGACAAGGAGUAGGUGCAAAUCCCUCUCGUGAGCCUCGUUAUGGUUGAUUUAACUACUACCAAGAGCGACAUGAUAUGUUGGUUCCAAUCAGUACUAGAUUGAUGGAGGUCGGCAGUUACUUGGUGCCCAGAAAUUUCACGAAUGCAGUUUGGUUUACAGUGUCCAUGAAAUGAACCAUAAAAAUAUUCGAUAAUCAAUGCAUAUAAACUAUUUCAAUUUACUACACCUGCACUGAUUCAACAGUUGGAGAAAUGAGUCUGACAUGUUCCCGGUGGAAUUCGGGUCUUCGGCGACCCCAAUCAAUUGCUCUUGACCGAACCAUUGAGGAAUCUUUUGAUUGAUGCAUGAUGGGUCUCUGGCAAAACUGAGCCUGCAGAAAACGAAAAUGAUUCAAUGACCGGUUAUUGGUUAAUUCCCAUACGACCAAAGAUAUGAAAUGUUGGAAUUCUUGAACAUAAACUUUACACAAUCGCUUCUGGAAGUUCGUUUGGGUGUAUGGAAUGUAUGAGUUAAACUAAUAUGCAACUUCGAGAUCGUAAAACCAUAAGACGCAAUGUUCUUUCGCUUUCCUAAUACUUGCGUAGGUUCACAUAGUAUUAGGCCUGCAGAGUUGCUAUGAAAGUACACAAAAUUCUUAACUCUAAACUAAA